CAAAUACUACCUCCGUUCCAUAAUUCUUGUCUCAAAUUUACACAAAAAUGGAUGUAUCUAUUCCUAAAAAGCGUCUAGAUACAUGUAAUAUUUCGACAAGAAUUAUGGAACGGAGGGAGUAACAU
rfam:Brachypodium distachyon strain Bd21 chromosome 1, whole genome shotgun sequence.